rnacentral:rRNA from 1 species
GACGAACGCUGGCGGCGUGCUUAACACAUGCAAGUCGAACGGAAAGGCCCUGCUUUUGUGGGGUGCUCGAGUGGCGAACGGGUGAGUAACACGUGAGUAACCUGCCCUUGACUUUGGGGUAACUUCAGGAAACUGGGGCUAAUCCCGGAUAGGAGCUCCUGCUGCAUGGUGGGGGUUGGAAAGUUUCGGCGGUUGGGGAUGGACUCGCGGCUUAUCAGCUUGAUGGUGGGGUAGUGGCUUACCAAGGCUUUGACGGGUAGCCGGCCUGAGAGGGUGACCGGCCACAUUGGGACUGAGAUACGGCCCAGACUCCUACGGUAGGCAGCAGUGGGGAAUAGAGCACAAGGGGCGGAAGCCUGAUGCAGCAACGCCGCGUGCGGGAUGACGGCCUUCGGGUUGUAAACCGCUUUCGCCUGUGACGAAGCGUGAGUGACGGUAAUGGGUAAAGAAGCACCGGCUAACUACGUG